rnacentral:rRNA from 1 species
AGCAGCCGCGGUAAUUCCAGCUCCAAUAGCGUAUAUUAAAGUUGUUGCAGUUAAAAAGCUCGUAGUUGAAUUUUGGGUUUGGCCGAUUGGUCCGCUCUUGUAGCGAGUACUGGUCGGUUGGGCCUCACCGCUUGGUGAUGCGUAAUGUCCUUUAUUGGGUGUUGCGAGUAGCCAAGACCUUUACCUUGAAAAAAUUAGAGUGUUUAAAGCAGGCUUAUGCCAGAAUACAUUAGCAUGGAAUAAUAGAAUAGGACGAUUUAUCUAUUUUGUUGGUUUCUAGGAAAAUCGUAAUGAUUAAUAGGGAUAGUUGGGGGCAUUAGUAUUCAAUUGUCAGAGGUGAAAAUUCUUGGAUUUAUUGAAGACUAACUACUGCGAAAGCAUUUGCCAAGGAUGUUUUUCAUUAAUCAAGAACGAAAGUUAGGGGAUCGAAGACGAUCAGAUACCGUCGUAGUCUUAACCAUAAAACUAUGCCGACUAGGGAUCGGGCGAUGUUAUUUGAAUGACUCGCUCGGCACCUUAU